rnacentral:lncRNA from 1 species
UAACGGUUACUCUUGGCAACACGCUCAAGCUCAUCCUUCUUCUUGAUGGCGUAAGAGUUGGAAGAGCCCUUAGCAGCAUUGAUGAUUUCUUCAGCCAAGCAUUCAGAAAUGGACUUGACGUUACGGAAAGCAGCCUCACGAGCACCGAUAGUGAUAAGAGCAAGAGCUUGGUUGACACGACGAAGAGGAGAAACAUCAACGGCUUGACGACGAACAGUACCAGCACUACCAAUACGAGUGGAGUCUUCACGAGGACCACAGGCAGCAACGGCAUCAACCAAAACUUGGAGAGGGUUUU